rnacentral:rRNA from 1 species
AUGCAAGUCGAAGAAGGAUUGGCCGAUGCUGCCGGCUGCGCCAAGUUCGAUCCCACGGAUCAGGAGCUGAUCGAGCACCUUGAGGCCAAAGUGAGUGCUGACAGCGCGAGAUCUCAUCCUCUCAUCGAUUUGUUCAUACCAACCAUCGACAGCGAGCACGACAUAUGCUACACCCAUCCUGAGAAACUUCCAGGUAUCAGACUGAGUGGCCUAAGAAAGCAUUUCUUCCAGCGCAAUUCUAGGGCGUUCAGAAGGGGCACGUGGACGCGUCGCAAGAUACAGUCGGAGUGCGGCAUGCAUGCGAUAUGGCACAAGACCGGCAAUACCUUGCCGGUGAUGGUCAACGGCCGGCAGACGGGCAGCAAAAAGGUUCUGGUGUUGCACACCAACAAGAACUUCGACCAGCAAAGGACCAACUGGGUGAUGCACCAAUACCACCUCGAGGACCUGGAGCAACAAAAGGAGCGGGAGCUGGUCCUCUGCAAGAUUUUCUACCAGCCGAACACUAGGGCCAGGAGUAAACAGAUUAUAAGUCGAGCAAGUUUCAACUGGGUUGUAGACUGCCCAGGCUUGGUUUUGUUUUUAACAGGCCCAGCCCAUGACGACAACAGGGCACAAAGAUCCAGCAGCUUUAUAUCCACGCCGACCCUCGGCAUGAAGGUUGGAAGAAAAUGCAAGUUCAUACCAAAAGAUCUUUAA